rnacentral:misc_RNA from 1 species
GUGAACGCCCUCACGGGCAUAUAACUAUUCCAAACCUCUGUGAACCGUGCCCUUCGGGGCUAUUUUACAAACAUGGUGUAAUGAACGUCAUAUAUCAUAACAAAACA